rfam:Otolemur garnettii contig005299, whole genome shotgun sequence.
UGUGCUUGCUUCAGAAGCACAGUAUAGUAAAAUUGGAAUGAUAUAGAGAGGAUUAGCAUGGCCCCUGUGCAAGGAUAACAUGCAAAUUUGUGAAGUGUUCCAUAUUUUU